CCUACGGUAGGCAGCAGUGAGGAAUAUUGGUCAAUGGGCGCGAGCCUGAACCAGCCAAGUCGCGUGAGGGAAGACGGUCCUAUGGAUUGUAAACCUCUUUUGUCGGGGAGCAAAAGACGCCACGCGUGGCGUUCCGAGAGUACCUGAAGAAAAAGCAUCGGCUAACUCCGUGCCAGCAGCCGCGGUAAUACGGAGGAUGCGAGCGUUAUCCGGAUUUAUUGGGUUUAAAGGGUGCGCAGGCGGAAGGUCAAGUCAGCGGUAAAAUUGAGAGGCUCAACCUCGUCGAGCCGUUGAAACUGGUUUUCUUGAGUGGGCGAGAAGUAUGCGGAAUGCGUGGUGUAGCGGUGAAAUGCAUAGAUAUCACGCAGAACUCCGAUUGCGAAGGCAGCAUACCGGCGCUCAACUGACGCUCAUGCACGAAAGUGUGGGUAUCGAACAGGAUUAGAUACCCCAGUAGUC
rnacentral:rRNA from 1 species